GUGCUCGCUUCGGCACGCACAUAAUACUAAAUUGGAACGAUACAGAGAGAUAUAGCAUAACCCCUGCGCAAGGAUGACACGCAAAUUCUGAAGCUUGCCAUACUUUU